rnacentral:snoRNA from 1 species
ACAUGAUGAGACACCAGCUGGCACCAGUCAUAGAGUGACUUGUACUCCCUUCAUUGAUGACCAAACAUUGCUGUGGUCUACGACCAAUUCUGAU